UAAAAAGGUUUUCCUAAUUGGUUAAUAUUACCUAAGGUAAAAAGAAAAUAAAAGAUCUUAUUUCCAAAACGUAUUAGGAAAUAAAGAUUGUGCCUGAUUUUCUUCUUAAUUUGAUAAAGCUUGUUUUUUCUUUAUGCAAGUUACUCUAUAUUAGAUUUAAAAGCUUGAAUAGCAUUGAAAAAGCAUUGACUAUCCUGAAUACUCUAUUAGGGCAGAUUAAUGUCUUAAAUAAGGCAUGAAUAUGAGAUGUGCUCAAUUAAUCUAUUUAAUACUUCCUUCAUUUUCUUGGUUCUUACCUUUGUUAUUAAACCUCCAUGGAUGCUCAACGGUUCUUGUGAAGAUUUUACAAAUUGGUUCUCAUCAUUCCUCCUCUUUUGAAAAGGAUUUGUUCUUAAAUCUUCACUUACAUCAAAAGGAGAUAAAUUAGCCAACAUCAAAGCUUGCACUUACAUUAUACUCGGUUGAAAGAUCCAACUUAUAAGUGUUAUCAUUGAUCCUUUCAAUCACUUGAAAUGGUCUAUCUCCCCUUGGAUGUAGUUUUGAACACCUUUAAACAGGUACUUAUUUCUUACUCGUAUGCAACCAAACCCAAUCUCUUAGUUCAAUUACAACUUUGUUGUGCCUUUUGUUAGCUUGGUUAGCAUAUUGUUCAAUUCUCUUCUUAAUGUUUUGCCCUGCCUUUUACAUGGAUGUGCCUAAUAAAGUCAUCUUUCUUCUUUCUGUCUAAAUUAAUUCCCUCAUCUAAGGUAAAAAUGUUAAAUCCAAAGGAGUUAAUGGAUUAAAACCAUUCACAAUUUCAAAAGGUGAAAAUUAGUUGCUAAAUUUACACUCCCAAUAUAUACAAAUUCUACAUGUGGCAAACAUUCUUUCUAUACUUUCAAAUUCUUUUGUAUUAUAGCACGCAACAAAUUUAAUAAAGCCCUAUUAACUACUUCAUUUUGUCCAUCAAUUUAUAGAUGACAAGUAGUAGAAAACAAAAAUUUGGUUCCUAACUUACCCUAUAAAGUUUUCUAAAAUAAAUUUAAGAACUUUUCAUCCCUAUUUGAAAAGAUACUUUUAAACAUGCCAUGCAAUCUCACAAUCUCUUUGAAAAAUAAAUCAGUAAUAUGUGAUGCAUUAUUAGUUUUAUGAUAUAGAAAUAUAGUGUUUCAUUUAAACAAACCUAGCAAUGACCACAUGGAUGGAAUCUAUACCCUUUUUUGACAUAGGUAAAUCUAAAACAAAAUCUAUAGAUAUGCUAGUCUAGGAUUCACUAGGUAUAAGCAAAGGAGUAUACAAACCAUAAGGUUUAACUUUAAACUUAGCUCGUCUACAAGUAAACACUUCUCACAAAUCCUUUCUAUACCAUAUUUCAUAUGAGCCCCCAAAAGAAAUGUUCAUGUUAAACACCUAAAGUUUAGAUAUACCAAAAUGCCCUAUCAAACCACCCCCAUGAGCUUCUCUAACAAGCAAGUUACUAAUGAAAAGCACACAUAACUUAUUUUCUCGAAAUAAAAAACCAUUAUACCCAAAGAAUUUGCCAAAUACCACUUUCUCAAAUGCAUUGAAUACAUUACUAAAAUCAAAAUCACCAAUAUAAAAGUCUUUAAUGCAUUCAAAACCUAAUAUUUUUGCAUCUAAGGUAAAAAAGUAAGGCAUACCUUUGAGAUAAUGCAUUAGCCACAAUGUUUUCCUUACCUUGUUUAUACCUGAUCACAUAAAAAUGUUAACUUAAAUAAAAUCCUUAAUUGAUUUUGAUGAUAACAAACAUGAUUAAGAUUGAUUAAUCUUUUAAAAGCUCAACAUAUUUUUCAUCUAUUUUGACAAGUUUCAUAAAGUAUGUUUAUAAAGAUUUGGAGACAAAACAGUCAUCUUGCAAAAUAGUUCACUGCAGCAGUUUUUGUGGAAAACGGCUAACCGACAGUUGUGAUAAACGGCUCGCCGAUAUCAACCAGAACUGAAGUAUAGCCUCUGGACCUAAACGGCGAUCCGACAGGUUUGAUAAACGGCUCACCGAUAUCAACCAGUAGCCUCUGGACCAAAACAGUGAUCCGACAAAUUUAAUAAACGGCUCGCCGAUAGCAAACAGAAGUGAAGUGUAGCCUCUGGACAUAAACGGCGAUCCGACAUCUAGUUAACGGCGAUCCGACAAUUUGAAAAAUCAGCCCAACGGUCAUAUUGACCAGUCAAAUGGCGAUCCGAUAUCUAUCUAACGGCGAUCCGACAGUGUGCAGACAGUCUAUAACGGCUAGUUUUCAGCUGCAGCUAUAAAUAAGCUCAUUCAAAUUCAAACAAAAAUUGAUCACAACACGACCUUUGAGCAAAUAUUCGAGAAUACAAUCUUCAUAAAGCUUAAAACACUUUCUUGCUUCAUCUAUUCACAUAAUAAGCAUCAUUGUGUAAUCUUAUAUAUUGUGAGAGGUAAAACAAAUUGGUAAUAUUUUACUUUGAGUGAUUAUAAGUGUUAGAAUACACUUGGGUUAAGAGAUUGGGGAUAAUCUCUUGUUGUAAAGGUUUAUUGACACCUUGGAAGUCAAGUGUAAGCAUUUGAAGCCUUAGCGGCUUGCUUAGUGGAAUCCUCAAGCCCAGAAAGCUUGGAGGUGUGGACGUAGGCGAGGUUGGCCGAACCACGUAAAAAUCUUUGUAUUUGAAUCCCUCUUCCCUUAUCUUUUUAUAUUGUGAUCAACUUAAUUGAUAUUGCUUUGAAUUUGGAUUAUAUUUGCAUUAAGUUUUUCUUUAUAAAUUGAAUAAUUUUUAGAAUCCCAAUUCACCCCCUUCUUGGGUUGCAUACUUGUAUUUCAAUUGGUAUCAGAGCCUUGUUCUCUUGUUAAGACUUAAUCGUCUAGAGUAAAAGAUCCAUGGCAACCCUAAAUGACUCAACCUUUAGAGAAUGGCAAUCCACAACUAGACCACCAUUUUUCGAUGGUAAUGACUAUGCUUAUUGGAAAACUAGAAUGAGAAUCUAUUUGCAAGCUUUAGAUUAUGAAAUUUGGGAAGUUGUUUGUGAUGGUCAAUUCAUGCCUACGUUUAAAGAUGAAGUAGGAGAUGAUAUUCCUAAACGAUCGAGUCAAUGGAGUGAGUUAGAAAAGAGAAAGAUGUCUCUAAACUCCAAGGCUAUGAAUGCUUUGUUUUGUGCCCUUGAUAAGAAAGAAUUCCAUAGAGUGUCUAGUUGUGCAAGUGCACAAGAGAUAUGGAACAAACUUGAAGUUGUCUAUGAAGGGACAAAUCAAGUAAAAGAGUCUAAAAUCAGUAAAUACACUCGUCAAUAUGAGUUGUUCCAAAUGGAACAAAAUGAAAAUGUGUAUUUUAUGCAUACUAGAUUCACGGACAUAGUGAACACCCUAGAUGCCUUAGGAAAAACCUUCUCAAAUAGUGAAAAAGUUAAGAAAAUCAUUAGGUCUCUUCCAAAAGAAUGGAGACCUAAAAGAACCGCCAUUGAAGAGGCCAAAGAUUUAAAUACUUUACCUCUUGAUGAUUUAAUUGGUUCUCUUAUUUCAUAUAAAGAGGAUUUAGCUGCAGAAAAAAGACAUGAGGAGAAGAAGAAAAGUAUUGCUCUCAAAGCUUCAAAAUAUGAGAGUGAUGGGGAAAGUGAACCGGAUGAUGAAGAGCUAGCCAUGCUAGCAAAGAGGUUCAGAAAAUUCUUCAAGAAAAUCGGAGAGCGAAGAAAUUUCAGAAACUUCAAGAACCAUAGGGAGAAGAAGGAGGCAAUCACAUGCUAUGAAUGCAAUAAGCCUGGACAUAUAAGAUCGGAGUGUCCACUUAUCAACAAACUCAAGAAGAAAGCAAUGGUUGCAACUUGGGAUGAUAGUGAGGAAAAUCAAGUGAUGAAGAAGGAUCGCAAGAAGUAUCAAACCUAGCACUCAUGGCAAUAGGAGGGGAUGAUGAUCUAAAUGAGGUAAGUGAUCCCACCUAUGAUGAAUUGUAUGAUGCUUUUAAAGAUUUGCAUAAUGAGUUGAUGAAGAUUGGUAAAAAGAAUGUAUGUCUUAAAAAGAAAAUGGCAAAGCUUAAAAAUGAAAAUGAAUCUCUAAAUGCAAGAAUUGUAUGCUUAGAAGUAGGGAACAAAACAUUGCAUGAUGAAAUUGUUUUAUCAAAUGAGAAACCUAGCAUCUUACAUGAGCAUUUAGAAUCACACAUAAAUGAGUUGAAAAAUGAGAACGAAAUGCUCAAGAAGAAGAGUAAUGAAUUGAAUGAAAUUGUUUUGAAAUUUACAAAUGGGCAAAAGAUGUUGGAUAAUAUGCUUAACUCACAAAAAUGUGUUUUUGAUAAAGGAGGACUUGGAUAUAAGCCUAACUUGAAGCAAAGUAUUAUAAGAAUUAUUUUUUUAACGCUACCUCCACAAAUGAUCAUAAGAUUGUAUGUCAUUAUUGUAAUCAAAAUGGUCACAUCAAAUAUAGAUGUCCUGUAAAAAGGAAUGCAUAUUAUGGUGUCAAAUGCAUUUGGGUUCCAAAAGGAACCGUUGCUAACUCUCAAGGACCCAAAAAGCUUUGGGUACCUAAAACUUGAGACUUUUUCGUGUAGGGCUUAAAGAAGAAGAAAAAUAAAUGGUACUUGGACAGUGGUUGUUCAAGGCACAUGACUAGAAACUAUGCAUGGUUCUCAAGCUUCACCAAAAUUGAAAAUGGUGGAGAUGUAUCUUUUGGAGACAACUCAAAAGGAAAAAUUCUUGGAAUUGAAAAUGUUGGUAAAGUCUCUUCAACUCUAAUUGAGAAUGUAUGUUUGGUUGAGAACUUGAAACACAACUUAAUUAGCAUUAGUCAAUUAUGUGACAAAGGUUAUAAAGUUAUCUUUGAUAAAUUUAGUUGUGUUAUUGAGAACUCAUGUGAUGGCAAAACCUUAUUUGUUGGAAAUAGAUGUGGUAAUGUUUAUAUCAUUGACAUAGAAUGUGCAUCUACUCUUGAUAAAUAUUUUUCGGCAUUGCAUGAUGAUUAUUGGUUAUGGCAUAGAAGGUUAGGACAUGCAAGUAUGGAUUUGAUUUCAAAAUUUUCGAAAGAUAAUUUAGUUAAAGGUCUUCCGAAAAUUGGUUUUCAAAAGGAUAAGAUUUGUGAAGCUUGUCAAUUUGGAAAACAAAUUAAAACUUCUUUUAAGAAUAAAAACCAUAUUUCUACUUCAAAAUCACUUGAACUUCUUCACAUAGAUCUUUUUGGGCCAUCUAGAUAUGCAAGUCUAAAUGGCAAAUAUUAUGCAUUUGUGAUAGUGGAUGAUUUUUCUAGAUAUACAUGGGUAUUAUUCUUAGCCAAUAAGGAUGAUGUUCUUGAUGCUUUUAAAGUGCUUUGUAAGAAAUUACAAAAUGAAAAAGGGCAUGGUAUUGUAUGCAUUAGGAGUGAUCAUGGAGGAGAAUUUGAAAAUCAUGUAUUUGAGAGUUUUUGCAAUAAUCUAGGCAUUGAGCAUCAAUUUUCAACACCUAGAACUCCACAACAAAAUGGAGUUGUUGAGAGAAAGAAUAGGUCUAUUCAAGAAAUGGCUAGGACCAUGUUAAAUGAAAAUGCAUUACUAAAAUAUUUUUGGGCCGAAGCCGUCAACACUGCUUGUUAUGUUUUAAAUUGGGUGUUGAUUAGACCUAAUCUUAAUAAAACUCCAUAUGAGCUUUGGAAAGAUAGAAAACCCAACAUUGGCUAUUUUAAAGUUUUUGGAUGCAAAUGUUUUGUUUUGAACACAAAAGAUAAUCUUGGUAAAUUUGAUCCAAAAUCUGAUGUUGGUAUUUUUCUUGGUUAUUCAAAUUCAAGCAAAGCUUAUAGAGUCUAUAACAAAAGAACUUUAAUUGUGGAGGAAUCUAUGCAUGUCACAUUUGAUGAGUCUAACCCCUCCUCUACGGAGAAAGUCGUUGUUGAUGAUGAUGCAGAAGAAGAACAACAAGAAGAAGAAGCAUCAAAUGACAAUCAAGAAGAUGCACCACAUGGAAUUCAAGAGGAACAUUAUGAAGAACCAAACGAGGAGCAAAAUGAAGGUACUUCUCAAACACUCCCCAAGGAGUGGAGGUAUGUCUCUUCUCACCCUAAAGAUGUAAUUUUAGGAGAUCCCUCACGAGGUAUUACAACUAGAUCAUCACUUAGAAAUACUUGUGAGCAUAAUGCAUUCACCUCUCAAAUUGAACCAAAAUCCUUUGAAGAUACAGAAAAUGAUGAAUCUUGGAUUAUGGCAAUGGAAGAGGAGUUAAAUCAAUUUGAAAGAAACAAUGUGUGGGAAUUAGUUCCUAAACCAGAACAUCAAUCUGUAAUAGGUACUAAAUGGGUGUUUAGAAAUAAGAUGAAUGAAUCCGGUGUGGUUGUAAGAAAUAAAGUUAGAUUGGUGGCUCAAGGUUACAACCAAGAAGAAGGAAUUGAUUUUGAUGAAACCUUUGCACCUGUAGCAAGGUUAGAAUCCAUUAGGAUGUUGUUAGCAUAUGCAUGUCAUAAGGAUUUUAUUUUGUAUCAAAUGGAUGUCAAGAGUGCUUUCUUAAAUGGUUAUAUUUUGGAGGAAGUUUAUGUGAAACAACCUCCUGGUUUUGAAAAUGAAAAAUUUCCAAAUCAUGUUUAUAAGUUGCUCAAAGCCUUGUAUGGUUUAAAACAAGCACCUAGAGUAUGGUAUGAUAGACUUAAAAAUUUUUUGCUAGAAAAUGAUUUUUCUAUGGGUAAAGCGGAUACUACUCUAUUUGUUAAGCAUAAGAACCAAGACAUACUUAUUGUUCAAAUUUAUGUUGAUGAUAUUAUUUUUGGUUCUACUAAUGAGUUGUUGUGUAAAGAAUUUUCAUCGUGUAUGAGCAAAGAAUUUGAGAUGAGUAUGAUGGGAGAGUUGAAAUACUUCCUUGGACUUCAAAUCAAACAAAACGAGGAAGGAAUUUUCAUAAAUCAAGCCAAGUAUGUAAAGGAUCUACUCAAACGAUUCGGCAUUGAUGAUUCAAAGACCAAGAAUACACCAAUGAGCACAACAACCAAGCUAGACAAAGAUGAAAAAGGUAAAGGAGUGGAUAUCAAAACGUAUCAAGGUAUGAUCGGAUCUCUACUUUAUUUGACUGCAAGUAGACCCGAUAUCAUGUUUAGUGUAUGUUUGUGUGCAAGAUUUCAGUCAUGUCCCAAGGAAUCACAUUUGCUCGCUGUUAAAAGAAUUUUCCGUUAUUUGAGUGGAACCAUAGAUAUUGGCCUUUGGUAUCCUAGGGGAACUCAUAUAGAUUAACAUGUUUUUCGGAUGCAGACUUUGCCGGUUAUAAAAUGGAUAGGAAGAGCACUAGUGGAACUUGCUAUAUUCUAGGACACUCUCUUGUUUCAUGGUUUAGCAAGAAACAAAAUUCUGUUGCACUUUCAACUACCGAGGCUGAAUAUAUAGCUGCCGAAAGUUUUUGUGCUCAAGCACUUUGGAUGAAACAAACACUUAGAGAUUAUGGCAUUAAUCUUGAACAAAUUCCUAUUAAGUGUGAUAACACUAGUGCUAUAAACCUUUCAAAAAAUCCCAUUCAACACUCUCGAACCAAAAAUAUAGAAAUAAGACAUCAUUUCUUGAGAGAUCAUAUUCAAAAGAGAGAUAUUGCAUUAGAGUUUAUUUCUAUGGAAAACCAACUUGCCGAUAUUUUUACAAAACCUCUUUGCGAAGAACAAUUUUCCAAAAUUCGACAUGAACUUGGGAUGAUGAAAUUUUCACAUUAACAUCUUCAUUCAUGCUAUUGAGUCUAUUAACAUUGAUUGAUCUAUGACUUGAUGCUUUAAUUUCUAUGGAAUGCUCAAUCAUAAUAUACAUGUGAUGUGUAUGUAUAUUUGAAAAUAUAUGAAUUAAUUGUUGCAAUACAUAUAUAUGUUCAUGAAUUAUGCAUUUAACUGGCACUCAAAUCAUUUUGGAUCAAUAAAAUGAUCUUGAAAUGUAUUAAUAAGUAGCCAAAUAUCAAAAUACAUGUGCGAAAUCAUAAGUUGUAGAAAACGGAUUGCCGUUAUUUCAAUAAACGGCUAACCGUUUUGGGCAGAAACAAUGGAACGUUUUCUGGAAGCUAUCGGUUCGCCGAUAACUAACUAUCGGCUCGCUGUCCUGAUACAAAAUUUUGAGGGGACUCCCUGGACCCUAUCGGCUCGCCGUUUUGGUUAAUUUGUUUGGAGGGCUCUCUGGACUCUGUCGGCUCGCCGUUUUCUUUAUAACGGCUCGCCGUUAUCACGCGUUAAUUGAACAGUCCUUUGUCUUCCCCCUCAUUUCGGCUUCUCUUUCUCUCUCUCUCUCUAUUCAGCCCGCGACUGCACCAGUUCUCUACUCUCAAAUCCAUCACUUUUCUCGACAUUUUUCAUCAAAUUGAAGCAUUACAAACCAUUUUUAUCUUCUCUAGACCCUUUUAACCGACUCAAAUCUUUCUCUUUCAUCUAAAAUUGAAAAAUCUUCUUUUUAAAACCCUAGAACCAGCCAAGCCUUCCUUGCUCAAAUUAACCCAAAUCUCUUCCUUUUUCCAAUCACAUUUUCACCCACAAUCACUAUCUUAUCUCUCAAACUUCAUUUCCACAAAUUUUUUUUCUCUCCCAACACAUCCAUGGCGGAACGACCACAAAGGCGUGCUCGAACCAAGCACACUGCUCCACACCGUUCUAGUCCACCCAGGUCUCCUCCUCAACACUUUGAGAGUCUUCAUUUUUCCGAUGCUACCUCUGCUCAGCGUUUUCGUGAGAAGUUCAUGGGUAAACCCGUAACUCCCUCUUUUUCUCUUAACAUUUCGGAGUUCUCGGAUAUUACUGUUUGUGGUCACUCAAUUACUCAAAUGCUUAGUCAUUGGAAGCAAGCUUUAAGUAUUGAUGAACCUAUUUAUGAAAAUAUAGUUCGAGUCUUUUAUUCUAACAUAGAAUUCUCCUCUACUAGUCGUGACGAGCUUCAUACAUUUGUAGGAGGAAUUCGCAUUGAACUUGAUGAACCUGAAUUAUGUAGUAUUCUAGGAAUCGCUUAUGGAGGGUUAGAUCUGUACACCGCUAGGAAAGAAUUAUCUUUUAGUAAUUUUCGUCAUGUGGAUGGUGUACGGAACAUUUGUCGUCGUCGAGAUCUUUCCGAUGACAUCUGCUCUUUGCCCUUUAGGUCUCAACUCCUCCCUUUUUAGAUUCGAAUACUUCACAUUAUUCUCCAACACAUGGUCACUCCUAAACAGGGUCACACUAAUGAGGUCACUAGGCUUGAUAUUGGCCUAUUAGAUUCUCUUAUCCGUCGACGCCAUGUGAGCCUAUCCUACACUAUUAUGUGCCAUAUGUUGUCCACCCCUAAAGUCUCCAAUCGAUCCCUUCCUUAUGGCAACAUCAUUACUAGGAUCCUGAACCACUUUCAUGUUCCUAUUGUCGAGCCUGUUUUUCUCGAGACUCGUAAGCUUGGACGAGAAAUUAUUUCUGCCAUCGGAUUCUUUAAGAAGCAUGGGAAAUGGGAGAAGACCACGUCCUCUAAAAACAAAGUCACACUGAUUGCACCCGAGGAUGAUCGCAUGCUGAAUGAUGUCUACUCUGAGAAUGAGCUACCUGAUUUCUGUCUUGGGGCUAGACAGCGUGUUCCUCGCUGAGCAGCAGCACCAGCAGCCCCUGCUUCACCAGCAGCCGCUGCAUCUCAGGAUGACGAGCCUACCGAGACUGCCGUCCCUCCUGCAGCAUCAGCUGUUCCUGAGGAUCGCUUCCAGCAGCUUCUCAACCGAGUGGAUGCUUUGUCCCAGCAGCAGCAGCAGCUUCGAUAUGAUUUUGCAACCUUUCGGGAGCAAAUUUCAAAUCAGUAAAUGGAGUUAAUUGCGGGACAACGUCGAAUUCUUGGCUACUUUGGAUAUGACCCCGGCAGCUCAUCUUCACAGCCCCCAUCUUAGAUUUCUCUGCCCCUCUGAUAUUCGCACAGACAACUUUCAUUUCAUUUGCCAUAUGUGUAUGAUAUCAUUUGUGUUCUGUGUGUUAUGUGUUUUGUGAUUAUGCUUUUGAUAAUACAUGUUGGACAUAUGCAAUUAAUUUCUGUUUAGGUUGUUUUUGGUAUUAUAUUGAUUAUAUUGCUCAUUCUGGAAGUGUGAAUCUGUUGGUAUGGAGGUUGGAUGAUAUGGUGGCAUGCUUAUAUGGGAGUGUUUUUUGUUUUGACUCUAUGUAUUCUUAAGGAUAUACUCAUAUUUCAGGGGAAAUUCUGCCAAAAAUUUUUUUUUCCAAUCAUAAGUCCUUCCUCGCGCCUAAUUUUUUUUUUAUAAUGAAGGGGGAGAGAUAAUUGGCAUACUCUUUUUUUUUGUUGUCAUGUUUAAAACUUUGUUUGAUAUUAAAAGUUAAAUGAAUUUUUUUUUAAGAGGAGUUAACAAGUCUUUCAAAAUCUCAUUUAGGGGGAGCACAUAUUUAGGGGGAGCAAAACUACACAAGUAUUUUUUUUUGAAAAGUUUGUCAUCAUCAAAAAGGGGGAGAUUGUUAACUUAAAUAAAAUCCUUAAUUGAUUUUGAUGAUAACAAACAUGAUUAAGAUUGAUUAAUCUUUUAAAAGCUCAACAUAUUUUUCAUCUAUUUUGACAAGUUUCAUAAAGUAUUUUUAUAAAGAUUUGGAGACAAAACAGUCAUCUUGCAAAAUAGUUCACUGCAGCAGUUUUUGUGGAAAACGGCUAACCGACAGUUGUGAUAAACGGCUCGCCGAUAUCAACCAGAACUGAAGUAUAGCCUCUGGACCUAAACGGCGAUCCAACAGGUUUGAUAAACGGCUCACCGAUAUCAACCAGUAGCCUCUGGACCAAAACGGUGAUCCGACAAAUUUGAUAAAUGGCUCGCCAAUAGCAAACAGAAGUGAAGUGUAGCCUCUGGACAUAAACGGCGAUCCGACAAUUUGAAAAAUCAGUCCAACGGUCAUAUUGACCAGUCAAACGGUGAUCUUAUAUCUAUUUAACGGCGAUCCGACAAUGUGCAGACAGUCUAUAACGGCUAGUUUUCAGCUGCAGCUAUAAAUAAGCUCAUUCAAAUUCAAACAAAAAUUGAUCACAACACGACCUUUGAGCAAAUAUUCAAGAAUACAAUCUUCAUAAAGCUUAAAACACUUUCUUGCUUUAUCUAUUCACAUAUUAAGCAUCAUUGUGUAAUCUUAUAUAUUCUGAGAGGUAAAACAAAUUUGUAAUCUUUUACUUUGAGUGAUUAUAAGUGUUGGGAUACACUUGGGUUAAGAGAUUGGGGAUAAUCUCUUGUUGUAAAGGUUUAUUGACACCUUGAAAGUCAAGUGUAAGCAUUUGAAGCCUUGGCGGCUUGCUUAGUGGAAUCCUCAAGUCCGGAAAGCUUGGAGGCAUGGACGUAGGCGAGGUUGGCCGAACCACGUAAAAAUCUUUGUGUUUGAAUCCCUCUUCCCUUUUCUUUUUAUAUUGUGAUCAACUUAAUUGAUAUUGCUUUGAAUUUGGAUUAUAUUUGCAUUAAGUUUUUCUUUAUAAAUUGAAUAAUUUUUAGAAUCUCAAUUCACCCCCCUCUUGGGUUGCAUACUUGUAUUUCAAAAAAAACGUUUCAAUCAACUCCACUCACUUGGCAUGGCAUUUAUCUAGCUUAUGUUGACCUUUUAAAUACUUCAAAACUCGUGAUUCGUAUAAAUCAUAAACUUUUCUGGCCAAAGAUAGUGCUGUUAAGUUUCCAAAACCCAAUUAAUAAAUGCAGUUCAUUGUCGUAUGUAGAGUAAUUUAAGGCUGCCCUACUUAACUUUUCAUAAAUUAUGUCAAUGGAAUGUCCUUUUGCAUUAGAGCAUUUUCAAUAUUUUUAGCAAAGUUAGGUAAAGCAAAUAGAGGUGCAUUAGCUAAUUUCUUUUUAAUCAAAUUAAAUGUCUUUUCUUGUUCUUCCCCUCACUUAAAAUCCACAUUCCUUUUUAUUAUUUCAGUCAAAGGUGCUGCUAAGUUACUGAAAUCCUUUAUAAAUCUCUUAUGAAAGCUAGCCAAUCCAUGAAAACUUCUAACAUUACCCACACUUGUAGGUUUUGGCCAAUCUUGAAUUGCCUUAUUGAUGAGAAUGAGGACAAAACUAUCACAAGAAUGUGGGAUAAGAUAUAUUCAGAUCCUAUUCAAGUUCCCAUCAGACUUGUCACAAGAGCUCGAGUAAAGAAAUCAAAGAAGCACUUAAUGAGUUUAUUCAAGCAACUUGGGCUCAAUCAAAUUUGUGGAGGGUUGUUGAAGGAAUCGCACAUAAUAAAUGCAUGAUUCAGGCUCUUGAAUUUUCCAAAUAAUCACUUACAUGAAAUAGGAAGUUGCCUUGCAUAUUCUGAUAGGAAAACAUAUUAUUUUUCUUUUUUGAAUAUUUUUCCGUUUAGAAAAUAUACUACUUUCCCUUUUGGAUACUUUCCUGUUUCUUGAGGAGGCUAGUGGAAAAACAAAUCAGUUAUUUCACUUUUAAUUGCUGAGUUUCCAUUUUAAUUGACACAAGGCAUUUAAGCCGAUUAGGAUUCUAAUUUGAUUUAGAUUCUUUCCUAUUCGCUUAGAUUAUGAUUCUGAUUUAAUUUAGAUCCUUUUCUUAUUUACUUUAGAUUAAGAUUCUGAUUGUGGCGUCCUCAUAUAUCAAGAUUCAUGCUUUCAUUGAGUAUCAGGCCGCGGUUCCAUUUGAUUUUAGGUUUAGAUUUGAUCUUGUAGAUUACAUUGAUUAAGGUCGUAUCAGCUUUUGGCGGGGGUCGUAUCACCUUUUGGCGGGGUUCGUAUCAUUUACCUUUUCUUUAUAUACCUCAAUUCCAUUAGUACUAAUAAUAAUAAAAUCAAGAAAUAUAAGCUUAUCUGUACAAAAGGUACACUUUUUAAAGUUAGCAAACAAAUUUUCUUUUCUUAAACAUAUAAAAAAAAUUUAAAUUUUCUACAUAUAAAUUUGAGUUUUUGCUAUAAAUCAGAGUAACUUCAAAGUAUCCAACCAUAAAUUUACCAAUAAAAGCACGCAACACGUGAUUCAAUAAUCUCAUAACAGUACUAGGUCCAUUGGUUAAUCCGAAUAGUAUAAUUAACCACUCGUAUAAGCCAUAUUUUGUUUUAAAUUCAAUUUUCCAUUCAUCAUUUUCUCUUAUCCUAAUUUGAUGAUAUCCAUUUUAAGAUCAAUUUUGGUAAAAACACAAGAACCUUAUAAUUUAUCAAGCAUGUCAUCUAAUUUAAGAAUGAGAUGUCUCUACUUGAUAAUGAUAUUAUUGAUGACACAACAACCAACACAAAUUCUCUAUAACCCAUCCUUUUUAGGCACAAGCAACACUAGAAUUACAAACGAACCUGUGCUUUCACACUCAUAUCCUUUUACUGUAAGUUCACUCACUUGCCUCUAAAUUUCCCUUAUUGGUAGUAAACCAUUAGGUAUCUAUUCAAAAGAUACAUCUUUAAAUUACUGUAAAAGAGAAACAAUAACACUAGGCAAAGAAGGAUUAAGUUCACUAGUACUUAAACAGACCUCUUUGUAAAAGCACAAUCAUAGGUUGUUUUAAAAUUAAAGCUCUUCUAACAACACUCUCUUUUGCAAAUAAAUUUACUUGUUUUUUGUCUUUUUAUUUCCUUUCUAACUGGAACUCAUUCCUUUUUCGCUAUCUUCUUCUCUCUUUUGAGUUUCAGCCUCUCUUGAUUUUCAACUCUCAUUUUCCUUUUUUAGGUUAUUCUCUUUCUUUAAUCUCACUUGAUCAUCAUACACUGGCCUUGGGGGUAAGAAUGCAACAAUAAUAGUGUUUUCAUUAAGUAUAAAGGAGUAUCUAUUGGUAUAACUAUCAUGAAUAACACAUCUAUCAAACUACCAUGGCUACCCCAAAAGAAUAUGCCCCGCAAACAUUAGCACUAUAUCACAUAUAACCUCAUCUCUAUACUUUCCAAUUGAGAAUAAAAAAGCACUUGUUUGAUAUUAACUUCUCCACAAUCAUUUGGCCAUUAUAGCUUAUAUGAUCUACAUUGUUUCAAAGUUUUCAAAUUUAAUUUUUCAACUAAACUAGUGCUAUCCACAAUAGUACAACUCCAUCUAUCAAUAAUCAUGCUACAUAUUUUAUUAUUAACAUGGCAUUAAGCAUAAAAGAUGUUUUCACAUUGUACCUUAUCAUCUUCUUUGAUUUGCACACUUAAAGCUCUUCUUGCAACCAAAAGCUCUUCAUCAACCAGAUAUUCAACUCCACUUACAUCCUCUGAAAGUAGCAUGGACUCAUCAUCAAAUUCACCUUCAGUCUUAAUGUCUAAGUCGUCUUCAAAACCAUCAUUCUUUUGUUUGGGCAUUGAGAUGCAAUAUAACCUAUUUACAAACACUUAAAACAUUUGACAUCUCUAUUUCUACUAAGUUAGGAAUCAAAUCUACCUUCAUAUGGUGCAUCUCCAUUCUCAUUAUCUUUGGAGAUUUCAGCUUUAGGCUUCAAAUUAGGAUUUUUAUCCUUUUAAUUCUAAUUUGGUUUUCAUAUUAAAGAAGACCCCAAAUUCUACUCAAUUCAUGUGGAACCAUUCCUUUUUAAUUAUUGUUCCACUUUUAUGCCCUUAUGCACCAUGUCAUCUAAUCAACAUAAUGUUAUAAUUCACCAUGUUUGUAAUAUCAGCGUUCAAACUAACCAAGAGCCUGGCUAUAAUAGCUUCUUUAUCCUCCUCCACGUUGACUCAGAUCAUGGCUAUUUACAUCUCCAUGUGGUAGUCUUUAAUGACUUUAGACACUUGAGUAAGGCUUUAUAACUUUUGAAAUAAGUUUCGAUAGUAGUGACUUGGAAUAAAUCUCUUUUUCAUAAUAGCCUUCAUCUUUUCCCAUGUCUCAACAACCCUAUCACGAUUUCAUCUCCUAUUUAAAACAAGUUAAUCCCACUAAACAAUAGCAUAUUCAAUGGCGACAAGCUUUACCUUUUUCAAUUUAAAGGAGUUAUGGCAAUCAAAUACUAAUUCCACCUUCUUUUCUAAUCUUUAACUUAAUAUUUCCCAUAUUUUUAUCAAUCUUAUCUUCAUAUCUAACCUCUUCAUCAAUGGCGACAAGCUUUACCUUUUUCAAUUUAGAGGAGUUAUGGCAAUCAAAUACUAAUUCCACCUUCUUUUCACAUUUUAAAUAAGCUUUAGGAUCAAUUUUUGCUUUGAAAAGAUAGAAUCUUUAACUUAAUAUUUCUCAUAUUGUUAUCAAUCUUAUCUUCAUAUCUAACCUCUUUAUUUCCAUUCCCCUACCCAAGUUUGCUUAAAUUAAUAUGAGGAGCAUAAAAUAAGGGCCUCUUUAUUUAUAAACAUAAGAACCAAUAGUAUAAGAAAUCUAGGCUUGACCCUAUACUUAAGAAAGAAGAGAAAAUUAUGAGUGAUAAAUCAAGAAAGAACAUCAUAAGAUGAAAUCUUGAUAAGUUCUGAAGGUGACACAACUCAAAAGUGUUUAAUUUACUCCCAAGUAUAAGAGUGCCUAGUUAUAUUAUACCUCAGUGAGUCGGAGGUCGAUCUAUAGAAAAAAGAUUUAAAUUAUUUAUUUUAGU
rnacentral:lncRNA from 1 species